UAGUAGCACUGGACGAUCUAAACAUGUCUUCUUUAAUGAAGUUGUGUAAAGGAAACAGUGCAAAAU